rnacentral:tRNA from 1 species
ACUAUCUUGGCAGAAUUAAAGUGCUAUAAAUUUAGAAUUUAUGUAUAUGGUUUUUAUCAUAGAUAGUA